GCGGUCAUCGUUCAAUAGCAGGACGCGGCCAUGCCAACGCUGCAACGCCGGUGCAAGCCGGCUGACCGCACCA
rnacentral:tRNA from 1 species